rnacentral:rRNA from 1 species
UACGUAGGGUGCAAGCGUUGUCCGGAAUUAUUGGGCGUAAAGAGCUCGUAGGCGGUUUGUUGCGUCGGCUGUGAAAUCCCGAGGCUCAACCUCGGGUCUGCAGUCGAUACGAGCAAACUAGAGUGUUGCAGGGGAGACUGGAAUUCCUGGUGUAGCGGUGAAAUGCGCAGAUAUCAGGAGGAACACCGGUGGCGAAGGCGGCUCUCUGGACCGAUACUGACGCUGAGGCGCGAAAGCGUGGGGAGCAAACAGG